rnacentral:rRNA from 1 species
UACGUAGGGGGGCUAGCGUUGUCCGGAAUCAUUGGGCGUAAAGCGCGUGUAGGCGGUUCGGUAAGUCUGCUGUGAAAGUCGGGGGCUCAACCCUCGGAUGCCGGUGGAUACUGCUGGGCUAGAGUCGGGAAGAGGCGAGUGGAAUUCCUGGUGUAGCGGUGAAAUGCGCAGAUAUCAGGAGGAACACCAAUGCGAAGGCAGCUCGCUGGGACGUACUGACGCUGAGGACGACGAAGCGUGGGGAGCAAACAGG